GACGAACGCUGGCGGCGUGCUUAACACAUGCAAGUCGAGCGGUAAGGCCCUUUCGGGGGUACACGAGCGGCGAACGGGUGAGUAACACGUGGGUGACCUGCCCUCAGCUCUGGGAUAAGCCUGGGAAACCGGGUCUAAUACUGGAUAUGACUCCAUGACGCAUGUUGUGGGGUGGAAAGCCUUGUGCGGCUGAGGAUGGGCCCGCGGCCUAUCAGCUUGUUGGUGGGGUGANGGCCUACCAAGGCGACGACGGGUAGCCGGCCUGAGAGGGCGACCGGCCACACUGGGACUGAGACACGGCCCAGACUCCUACGGGAGGCAGCAGUGGGGAAUCUUGCGCAAUGGGCGAAGGCCUGACGCAGCGACGCCGCGUGAGGGAUGACGGCCUCGG
rnacentral:rRNA from 1 species